GAUCCCAAAUGUUGAAUGUGUAAUGCAGGCCUUUCAAGCAGGUGCAUGCCUGCUCAGCAUGUUAAAAAAGUUCUCAUUGGUGCUAAGAUAUUGCUUUCUAUGAUGUAUUUGUAUCUUCUAUAUAUGUGUGUACAUAUGUCUUUUAUAGCUUUAGUCAGGGAAAAUCACACUGCUACUCUAUUGAAGGAUCUGGUUGCCAUUCAGUCUCCCAUGGUUCCAUCCAAUUUCUUGGGUCCUUCUGAAGAGCUGUAACUGAAGAAUGACCUGGAACAACCUGCUCUGCUGUAUAAUGGAGAAUAAUGGCAGUGCUGUGUGUCUGGAAGCCAUUAAACUCUUUGUACAACAAGCUCAUGUUUGCAGGGCAAGGGGAUGGAGAUUACAGGGAAAGACAAGAGAGGGAAGUGAAAUGGAUGUUUCCUCCAAGGAAGGAGGAAAAACCAACUAACAGCCCUCCAACAGCCUGUGCAAUUUGACAGCUGCCUGA